UGUGAUAUGUAUGUAUGUAUGUACAUGUGUACAUGUAUGUAUGUAUGCGUACUCCCUUCACCUAUGAGAACUAUGACUAAAAAGACAUCACA
rnacentral:miRNA from 1 species